GGUGUGUACUGAUAGAUUGCCUCUUCCUUUCGGAUCGUGAUAGACUGUUCUUAACUGAAUGGUUUAUUCACACCGAAUCGUAUACUUUGAAAAAAUUAGAGUGUUCAAAGCAGGCAUGUACGGCUUCUGAAUAAAUUAGCAUGGAAUAUUAGAAUAGGACUCGGUCACUAUUCGUUGGUUUUCUAGUGAUAGAGUAAUGAUUAAUAGAGACAGUUGGGGGUAUUCAUAUUUAAUUGUCAGAGGUGAAAUUCUUGGAUUUAUGAAAGAUGAACUCCUGCGAAAGCAUUUAUCAAGGAUGUUUUCAUUAAUCAAGAACGAAAGUUAGGGGAUCAAAAACGAUUAGACACCGUUGUAGUCCUAACAGUAAACGAUGCCGACCAGGGAUUAGAGAACGUUCAUUACAUGACUUCUCUAGCACCUUGCGAGAAAUCAAAAGUCUUUGGGUUCCGGGGGGAGUAUGGUCGCAAGGCUGAAACUUAAAGGAAUUGACGGAAGGGCACACCAGGAGUGGAGCCUGCGGCUUAAUUUGACUCAACACGGGGAAACUUACCAGGUCCAGACAUAGUAAGGAUUGACAGAUUGAGAGCUCUUUCUUGAUUCUAUGGGUGGUGGUGCAUGGUCGUUCUUAGUUGGUGGAGUGAUUUGUCUGGUUAAUUCCGUUAACGAACGAGACCUCGACCUACUAAAUAGUUGGUCGAAGCCUUUGGCUUUGCGCUUACUUCUUAGAGGGACUAUCGG
rnacentral:rRNA from 1 species